CCGAGCAACGUAGCCCAGUGGUAACGUUUCCGCCUCGUAAGCGGUAGAUCGGGUUUCAAAUCCCGGCUCGGA
rnacentral:tRNA from 1 species